rnacentral:rRNA from 1 species
UGGGGAAUAUUGGACAAUGGGCGCAAGCCUGAUCCAGCCAUGCCGCGUGAGUGAUGAAGGCCUUAGGGUUGUAAAGCUCUUUCAGUAGGGAAGAUAAUGACGGUACCUACAGAAGAAGCCCCGGCUAACUUCGUGCCAGCAGCCGCGGUAAUACGAAGGGGGCUAGCGUUGUUCGGAUUUACUGGGCGUAAAGCGCACGUAGGCGGAUCGUUAAGUCAGGGGUGAAAUCCUGGAGCUCAACUCCAGAACUGCCUUUGAUACUGGCGAUCUAGAGUCCGGAAGAGGUGAGUGGAACUCCUAGUGUAGAGGUGGAAUUCGUAGAUAUUAGGAAGAACACCGGUGGCGAAGGCGGUUCUCUGGGCAUUACCUGACGCUGAGGAGCGAAAGUGUGGGGAGCGAACA